rnacentral:misc_RNA from 1 species
AAACUGUCAACAAACAAAUCGGAGUUCUCCCUCAAUAUAAUUUGAGGAGUUCAACUGAAAUCACCAUAACCAAACCCACAAAUUUGCGGGACGAAAACACCAAAAAUGGCUGAUGAACUAAACAAAGCUGCUUUAGAGGAAUACAAGUCGUCAUCUGUAGAAGACAGAGGUGAGGAAGGAGAGAUCGUAGGGGAAUCGGAUGAUACCGCUUCGUCUUUAGGGAAACAAAUCACUAUGAAACAUCCACUAGAACAUUCCUGGACAUUUUGGUUCGAUAACCCUUCAGGGAAAUCGAAACAAGCUGCUUGGGGUAGUUCUAUUCGCCCCAUUUACACCUUCUCCACUGCUGAAGAUUUUUGGAGUGUGUACAACAACAUCCACCACCCAAGCAAGUUGGCCGUGGGUGCAGAUUUCCAUUGUUUUAAAAAUAAAAUCGAGCCAAAGUGGGAGGAUCCUGUAUGUGCCAAUGGAGGGAAAUGGACAAUGAACUUUUCUAGGGGUAAAUCUGAUACCUGCUGGCUGUAUACGCUUCUGGCACUGAUUGGAGAGCAAUUCGAUUAUGGAGAUGAAAUUUGUGGAGCGGUUAUCAAUGUUCGAGUUAGACAAGAAAAAAUAGCUCUGUGGACCAGGAAUGCUGCCAAUGAAACAGCUCAGGUGAGCAUUGGUAAACAAUGGAAAGAGUUUUUGGAUUACAAUGACACAAUUGGCUUUAUAUUUCAUGAUGAUGCAAAGAAGCUUGACAGAGCUGCCAAGAAUCGUUAUUCCGUGUAGUUCUAUCGUUACAACAGGGAAUGCAAUCAAUAGAGUUACAGGUAGUAUAGUUGUUUUACUGAAGAAUCAGCAGUCACUUACGGCUGCAUGUUUUACCUUUUGUAUUGGCAUUGCCAAUUUUCGUAUAGGGUAUUUGUUUGGUUUUGAAGCUUUUUGAUGACUUAACGAUUGGCCAUAUGCAUACUUGUAUUAGUACCGAUGUUAUAGAGGUAUUUUGCUAUUUCUGUGAAGUUGACAGCACUUAGCAUUCGUAUGUAUGUGUUUCGCUUUCCUUUGCAAUCCAACUUACUCUUUGAGGGGUCAUUUGAUAUGGUG